rnacentral:rRNA from 1 species
UUGAAAGAGGGAAGUGCCUCGCAAGAGGAGCCUGGAGACAGGUGCUGCAUGGCUGUCGUCAGCUCGUGUCGUGAGAUGUUGGGUUAAGUCCCGCAACGAGCGCAACCCUUGUCUUUAGUUGCCAUCAUUCAGUUGGGCACUCUAAAGAGACUGCCGGUGUCAAACCGGAGGAAGGUGGGGAUGACGUCAAGUCCUCAUGGCCUUUAUGACCAGGGCUACACACGUACUACAAUGGCCGGUACAAAGGGCAGCCACUUAGCGAUAAGGAGCCAAUCCCGUAAAGCCGGUCUCAGUCCGGAUUGGAGUCUGCAACUCGACUCCAUGAAGUUGGAAUCGCUAGUAAUCGCAGAUCAGCACGCUGCGGUGAAUACGUUCCCGGGCCUU